UACGGAGGGUGCAAGCGUUAAUCGGAAUUACUGGGCGUAAAGCGUGCGUAGGCGGUUCGUUAAGUCUGUUGUGAAAGCCCCGGGCUCAACCUGGGAAUGGCAAUGGAUACUGGCGAGCUAGAGUGUGUCAGAGGAUGGUGGAAUUCCCGGUGUAGCGGUGAAAUGCGUAGAGAUCGGGAGGGACAUCAGUGGCGAAGGCGGCCAUCUGGGACAACACUGACGCUGAGGCACGAAAGCGUGGGGAGCAACAGG
rnacentral:rRNA from 1 species